rnacentral:rRNA from 1 species
GACGAACGCUGGCGGCGUGCCUAAUACAUGCAAGUCGACCUUAGUGGCGAACGGGUGAGUAACACGUGGGUAAUCUGCCCAUCAGAAGGGGAUAACCCUUGGAAACUGGCGCUAAUACCGUAUACUGAAGGAUGGACCCGCGGUGCAUUAGCUAGUUGGUGAGGUAACGGCUCACCACGGCCACGAUGCAUAGCCGGGCUGAGAGGGUGAUCGGCCACAUUGGGACUGAGACACGGCCCAGACUCCUACGGGAGGCAGCAGUGGGGAAUCUUCGACAAUGGGCGAAAGUCUGACCGAGCAACGCCGCGUGAGUGAAGAAGGUUUUCGGAUUGUAAAGCUCUGUUGUUGGGGAAGCGGUAUCCAACCAGAAAGCCACGGCUAACUUCGUGCCAGCAGCCGCGGUAAUAC